UUCUUACUAACCAAACUAGCAAAAAUAAAGAAAGAAAUAUAAAGGAAAGUAAUUAAUAAUGCAGCAUCCCAAGAAUGAUUAUGAUAGGUCAAAGAGAAGGCAACUUAAUCAUAUUUUUGAAACUCAUUCCUGCUAGUUCAGCAUUAUCCAUGAUAAGAUAUCCCAAAUCAUUUUUUUUUCCUUCCUUUAUUUGUUAUUAGAUAUUGCCUUAAGUUAGGAUAUUAAAAAAAAUUGAGAAGAUUUAAAAGACUUCAUGAUACAAAAAAUUGCCCAUGUCUUGGUUUCCACUUUAGACAAUUUCCCUUCUGUAGAACAACAUAAUAAUGUGAUAAGCCACCACCUUGUAAAGGUAUUAAGGGAAAGAAUAAUCCAAAUCAAAUUAUAAAAGUGUGUACAGGGGGUGGACCAAUGUGUCAAAGUUAGAAUAAUUAAAAAGAAAAAAGAACAUGACAUGAGAAGAUCUAUGUGGUUUGGCUAUGAGAGCCUAUAUCAACAGCACAAACCUCAAAGAACUACAUCUUUAUUUAAUUGUAUUCUACAUCUCAUAAUACAUAAACUUCACUAUUUAUAAUGGAAGACCAAAGAUAUAUAUGGCACCAUAAAUUAAGAGAUUUUCCAACUAAAUGAAAAUAUAAGAAAACCCCUUAAAUAGGAAUAUCAAAACAUAAAUUAUUCUUCUACCUAUAGGAAUACAAAUCCAAACCCCUUAAAUAGGAAUAUCAAAACAUAAAUUAUUCUACCUAUAGGAAUACAAAUCCUACACUAAAUAAGAAUAACUUUCCAUAUUAUUCCCCUUUAAUUGGAGCAUGUAAUCUUAUUAAUUCCAAAACAAGGCAACUCCCAUUGCAAAAUGUUGGUUAGAUUUUAUUUCUGCAGUGCUGGGGUAACUAUUCAUUCAAGUUUUGCUAAAACAAUUAUUAAUCAGAUCAGAAAACAUAACGGUCACCAAAUAGGGAAUUAUUUCACAUGAAAAUACCUACCAACCAAAACUAAUGCGAAAACAUGUUGUCCAAGUAGGGGAUAGAUGAAUUUAGAUGGAGAAAUGUUGAAAAAUAGUGCAAGGGAAAUGUUGAAAAAUAGUGCAAGGGAAUUACCUGACAUUAGCAGGAAGAUAAGACGAAGGAUUGAUACGACAACGUAGUCUUAGAUUUUGAGCACUAAACACACACACUGUUGCAUCUAAGAAGCUGGCAUAUACCAGCUGACUAUCACAUGAGAAAGUUGCAUGAGAGAUUG
rnacentral:lncRNA from 1 species